CCCCUGCUAGCACCCAUGAGAACGAUAACACACCCACGAACACAGAACACAAUACCGGGUCGUUACAAUACUGUUGAUAUUCAUGCAUUUGUCAGAAGUCUUUGGAUUUGCCCAUUAUUUUCACCAAUCCAGGGCCUCUUGGAACGGUGCACUCCCUACCCGGGGAAAUAACAGUGUUGAAAGCAAAACAUCUGAUAUUGAAGGAUGUUCGUUUGGCUCGUUUCGAAAUAAUUGGUCUACUUUUGGAAGAUUUCAAAGUAUGCGUUGUCCGUCUCGCAAGGAGCCUUCAACCGCAAGGGGCCAUUGCGACUUCACUCCGUUGUCGACGUCCCCAUUGAAAUGCAUGACAUACAGUGCACUAUAACGAAGUGUUUAUGGGGAAUGUGAACGAGGUUGUAGAAUUUGUCCUGCUUUGCCUUGUCAUCGGAAAUCGAUUGGGUCUAUAUCGCCGAGGCUCCUCAACUGUUUAUAGUCUAUCCGAUUCUCCUUACAGCCAGACAAGCCUGAAUACGCCUGAUCUCAGAAGCCAAUCAGCGUCGAGUAUGGUUAGUACUUGGAUGGGAGACCGCCUGGGAAUACCAGGUUCUGUACGUUUUUUGCUCCAGUAGGGUGCACUUUUUUUUAGCAAUGUUGCGUCAAGUUUUAGGGCUCUAUUCAAUCCGUAUUGCGGAAGAGUAGCUUUACAGCUUGAUUGAAAUGUAAAGGUGUCAUUUCAGAAUGGGGACCACUGUAGCUCUGCUGGUGAUGCUGUUCUGUCUGUCUGGAGCAUGGGCUCAGUGAGAAAGUGGAGGAGUCAGAGAGAUUAAAUCACUCAACAGGGGGCAGAGCAGGUUGAGUGAGUUUCAGAUCGAAAGUAGAGGGACUAACCCACAAGCAGACGACCAGCGGCCAGACCACCACCACCGCUGACAUCUGGACUGAGCUGAAAGAGCUGAUAGACAUGGUGGUGCAAGAGAGUGGAGCUGAGGAACAUGGAGGCCAGACUGGAGAGAGAGAGAGAGUGCAGUGGAGCUGUCAGCCAUGGUGGCCAGAGUGACAGCCAGUGAGAGAAUGGUGGAGGAACUAGAGAGAGAGAGAGAGAGAAUUAUGCAGCACAAGAAUUGGAGCUAUCUGCCAUGGAGGCCAGAAUGACAGCCAGUGAGAGAACGGUUGAUGAACUGGAGAGAGAAUGCAGUUAUCUUCACAUCACCAGUGAGAGGAGUCUACUACUUCAAAUACACUGUCAACGAUUGGAGCAGUUCUCAUUAAAUGAGUGUAUAUUUUUACCAUAAUGACCAGCAACUUAUUUGUAAUGUGGAACCCAUUAACCAU